AUGACGUGCAAGCAAUGGCGGCGCAUUGUAACCAAGGCUUCCUUUCUUCGCCGAUGCUGCUGGCCGGACCACGAGACGGCGUCGUUCCUCCCUGGUUUCCUCCUCUGGGAAAAAAAUGUCAUCAAGGAUGACCCUACCUUUGUGACACGCUUCGUCCCCGUGCCAGGGUCCAUGUUUGGUUCGGACCGCUGCUAUCUAGAGUCGUUUUUUCCGAGAGCAGCAACAAGUGAUACAGGAGGACGUAAAAGAGGCCUGUUGCACAACACGGUGCCGCUCGUCACUCGCCAUGGCCUCCUCCUCGUACGCCUGGAUACACCCAUUGGAAAGGCAAAGGUUGCUUGGUCUCAUCUGUCCUGCUGGCUAUCUGCAAUUUGCUUUCGGGCGCAUGUGACAAGCUCCCUCUGUUAG
rnacentral:rRNA from 1 species